rnacentral:rRNA from 1 species
UACGGGGGGGGCAAGCGUUGUUCGGAAUUACUGGGCGUAAAGGGCGCGUAGGCGGCCUAUUAAGUCGGACGUGAAAUCCCUCGGCUCAACCGGGGAACUGCGUCCGAUACUGGCAGGCUUGAAUCCGGGAGAGGGAUGUGGAAUUCCAGGUGUAGCGGUGAAAUGCGUAGAUAUCUGGAGGAACACCGGUGGCGAAGGCGGCAUCCUGGACCGGUAUUGACGCUGAGGCGCGAAAGAUAGGGGAGCAAACGGG